rnacentral:tRNA from 1 species
GGGGGUAUAGCUCAGUGGUAUACAGCAUUCGACUGCAGAUCGAGAAGUCCCCGGUUCAAAUCCGGGUGCCCCCU